rnacentral:rRNA from 1 species
UACGUAGGGGGCAAGCGUUGUCCGGAUUUAUUGGGCGUAAAGAGCGUGUGGGCGGUUUGGUAGGUCCGCUGUGAAAACUCGAGGCUCAACCUCGAGACGCCGGUGGAAACCAUCAGACUAGAGUCCGGAAGAGGAGAGUGGAAUUCCUGGUGUAGCGGUGAAAUGCGCAUAUAUCAGGAAGAACACCCGUGGCUAAGGCGGCUCUCUAGUACGGUACUGACGCUGAGACGCGAAAGCGUGGGGAGCGAACAGG